rnacentral:rRNA from 1 species
GUGUCAGCCGCCGCGGUAAUACGGAGGGAGCUAGCGUUGUUCGGAAUUACUGGGCGUAAAGCGCACGUAGGCGGCGAUUUAAGUCAGAGGUGAAAGCCCGGGGCUCAACCCCGGAACUGCCUUUGAGACUGGAUUGCUUGAAUCCUGGAGAGGUGAGUGGAAUUCCGAGUGUAGAGGUGAAAUUCGUAGAUAUUCGGAAGAACACCAGUGGCGAAGGCGGCUCACUGGACAGGUAUUGACGCUGGAGGUGACGAAAGCGGUGGGGGAGCAAACAGGAUUAGAUACCCUGGUAGUCCACGCCGUAAACGAUGAUAACUAGCUGCCGGGGCACAUGGUGUUUCGGUGGCGCAGCUAACGCAUUAAAGUUAUCCGCCUGGGGAGUACGGUCGCAAGAUUAAAAACUCAAAGGAAUU